AGCAGCCGCGGUAAUUCCAGCUCCAAUAGCGUAUAUUAAAGUUGUUGCAGUUAAAAGGCUCGUAGUUGAAUUUCGGGGUUCUACCGUUGGUCGGGCUAUUGUCUGUACUGGCGUGUAGAAUUUCUACCUUCUGGGGAACUAUCAUGUUAUUAAUUUAGCGUGGUAGGAAACCAGAACCUUUACCUUGAAAAAAUUAGAGUGUUCAAAGCAGGCUUAUGUCUGAAUACAUUAGCAUGGAAUAAUAAAAUAGGACGGUGGUCCUGUUUUGUUGGUUUCUGAAUCACCGUAAUGAUUAAUAGGGAUAGUUGGGGGCAUUAGUAUUCAAUUGUCAGAGGUGAAAUUCUUGGAUUUUAUUGAAGACUAACUACUGCGAAAGCAUUUGCCAAGGAUGUUUUCAUUAAUCAAGAACGAAAGUUAGGGGAUCGAAGACGAUCAGAUACCGUCGUAGUCUUAACCAUAAACUAUGCCGACUAGGGAUCGGACGAUGUUAACUUUUCUUGACUCGUUCGGCGCCUUAACG
rnacentral:rRNA from 1 species